rnacentral:misc_RNA from 1 species
GAUGAAGAACGUAGCGAAAUGCGAUAAGUAAUGUGAAUUGCAGAAUCCAGUGAAUCAUCGAAUCUUUGAACGCACAUUGCGCCCGCCAGCAUUCUGGCGGGCAUGCCUGUCCGAGCGUCAUUUCAACCCUCAAGCACUGCUUGGUGUUGGGGAUCGGCACAGGCGCCCUCGGGCGCCCGCCGUCCCCUAAAUCUAGUGGCGGUCCCGCUGCAGCCUCCUCUGCGUAGUAGUUUUCUCCUCGCAAGGGCAGCUCGGUGGCGACCUCGCCGUAAAACCCCCAACUUCUGAAAGGUUGACCUCGAAUCAGGUAGGAAUACCCGCUGAACUUAAGCAUAUCAAUAAGCGGAGGA